GACGAACGCUGGCGGCGCGCUUAACACAUGCAAGUCGAACGGAAAGGCCUGCUUUCCCUUGUGGAUUGCGGGUACUCGAGUGGCGAACGGGUGAGUAACACGUGAGUGAUCUGCCCCCAACUUGGGUAUAAGCCUGGGAAACUGGGUCUAAUUCCCGAUAGGACUGCAGGGUGGUGCCUGUGGUGGAAAACGAUUUUCUAGUGGUUGGGGAUGAGCUCGCGGCCUAUCAGCUGGUUGGUGGGGUAAUGGCCUACCAAGGCGGCGACGGGUAGCCGGCCUGAGAGGGUGGACGGCCACAUUGGGACUGAGAUACGGCCCAGACUCCUACGGGAGGCAGCAGUGGGGAAUAUUGCACAAUGGGCGGAAGCCUGAUGCAGCGACGCCGCGUGGGGGAUGACGGCCUUCGGGUUGUAAACUCCUUUCGACCGCGAGGAAGCCACCUGGUUGGGAGGGUGGUGACGGUAGUGGUAGAAGAAGCACCGGCUAACUACGUG
rnacentral:rRNA from 1 species